AUAAUUAUAUUAUUGUUUAUAUUUUUUUUUGUAAUUUAUUAAAAUUAUUUUUUUUUCUAUUAUUAUUUAGAAAAAAUUUAUAUUAUGAUAGCUAAUUAGUACUGAAAAGGAAAUUUUUAUUAUUUUAUAAGAAAAAUUUAAUUUUUGUACCUUGUGUUUCAUGGUCUAUUAAAAUUAUUUUAUAAAUUUAAUUUUCCCGAAUUAAAAAGAGCUAAAUAUAAAUAAAUAUUAUUGUUUCAUAAAUAUUUAAAAUUUUUAUUUAGGUGUUAUAUGCAAUUCAAUUUUUAUAAUAUCUGGUUUUUUUAAAAAAAAGUUCAAUUUUUUUAUUAAAUAUAAAAUUAUUAAAUUUUUAGUUUUUUUAUUUUAAUAAUAAUAUUUUAAGGGAUAAGCUUUAAAGUAUAUAAUAAAAAUUAUUUUUUUAUACAGUUAUUUAGGAUUAAAAAUUUCCAGUUUUUAAAAUUUUUUAUUAUUUUUUUGUUAUUAUUAUGAUUUAUAUUUAAUUUUAUUUUUUUAAGAAAAUAAUUUUAUAAAUAUUUUUUAAAAUUUAAUAAUGAUAGAAUUAGUAUUUAAAAUGUUUCAUUAUUAAUUUUAAGUAAAUUAAGCAAAGGAAUUCGGCAAAAUUUUACUCACCUGUUUAUUAAAAACAUGUCUUUUUGAAUUUUAUUUAAGGUUUAACCUGCCCAAUGAAUAUUUAAUGGCUGCAGUAUUUUGACUGUACAAAGGUAGCAUAAUCAGUAGUUUUUUAAUUGAAAGCUGGAAUGAAGGGUUGAAUGAAGUAAAAACUGUCUCUGUUUAAGUAAAAAAAUUUUAUUUUUAAGUAAAAAAGCUUAAAUUUUUAAAGAAGACGAUAAGACCCUAUAGAAUUUUAUAUUUUUUUUUAUUUAAUUUAUAGUAAUUUAAAUUUAAAUUUUUAAAAAUAUUUUAUUGGGGUGAUGAAAAAAUUUGAAAAACUUUUUAUUUUUAAACAUUAAUAUAUGAAUUUUUGAUCCUUUUUAAAGAUUAUAAGAUAAAUUACCUUAGGGAUAACAGCGUAAUUUCUUUUAAGAGUUCUUAUCGAAAAAGAAGUUUGCGACCUCGAUGUUGGAUUAAAAUUUAUAUUUGGCGCAGAAGCUUUAUAAUUGGGUCUGUUCGACCUUUAAAAUUUUACAUGAUCUGAGUUUAGACCGGCGUGAGCCAGGUUGGUUUCUAUCUCUUUAAAUUUAACAUUUUUUAGUACGAAAGGACCAAAAAUUUGUUUUAAAAAUUGGAAUUUUGAUUAAAAUUAUUAU
rnacentral:rRNA from 1 species